rnacentral:rRNA from 1 species
AGCGAACGCUGGCGGCAGGCCUAACACAUGCAAGUCGAGCGCCCCGCAAGGGAGCGGCAGACGGGAGAGUAACACGUGGGAACGUACCCUUUGGUUCGGAACAACCCAGGGAAACUUGGGCGUAAUACCGGAUAAGUCCGUAAGGAGAAAGAUUUAUCGCCAAUGGAUCGGCCCGCCGUCUGAUUAGCUAGUUGGUGAGGUAAUGGCUCACCAAGGCGACGAUCAGUAGCUGGUCNGAGAGGAUGAUCAGCCUCACUGGGACUGAGACACGGCCCAGACUCCUACGGGAGGGCAGCAGUGGGGAAUAUUUGGACAAUGGGCGCAAGCCUGAUCCAGCCAUGCCGCGUGGAGGAUGAAGGCUUUC